rnacentral:rRNA from 1 species
GACGAACGCUGGCGGCGUGCCUAAUACAUGCAAGUAGAACGCUGAAGGAGGAGCUUGCUUCUCUGGAUGAGUUGCGAACGGGUGAGUAACGCGUAGGUAACCUGCCUGGUAGCGGGGGAUAACUAUUGGAAACGAUAGCUAAUACCGCAUAAUAAUAGAUGUUGCAUGACAUUUGCUUAAAAGGUGCAAUUGCAUCACUACCAGAUGGACCUGCGUUGUAUUAGCUAGUUGGUGGGGUAACGGCUCACCAAGGCGACGAUACAUAGCCGACCUGAGAGGGUGAUCGGCCACACUGGGACUGAGACACGGCCCAGACUCCUACGGGAGGCAGCAGUAGGGAAUCUUCGGCAAUGGACGGAAGUCUGACCGAGCAACGCCGCGUGAGUGAAGAAGGUUUUCGGAUCGUAAAGCUCUGUUGUAAGAGAAGAACGAGUGUGAGAGUGGAAAGUUCACACUGUGACGGUAUCUUACCAGAAAGGGACGGCUAACUACGUG